AAUACUUUUCUUCAUUUACCUUUUCCAUACUCUGCAAGGAGUGUCCGCUUUAUUAUUAGGUAUCAUAUAUGCCAUGUGUGGAGUCGAUCCUGGAGGACAAUUUUCUGCCAGCAACUUCCGUAUGCUCUUUGUUCCUCCUGGAAUUCCCCAUAAUGUACUACAGAGAACCAGAAACAAUCAAAAUUCAUGUUGGUAGAGCAAAGUCACCAAAAUGCAUCUACAAAACUUCCUACAACUAAGGCUCAGGUUCCUUCUUUUUAUUGGCUUCACCUGCCUCUGCUGACCUGUCCUGAAGGAACUGCACAAACUGAGUGGAACUCAAUUACUCAAGAGAACUCAACAGCGCUGAAUGAACUGCACUGACUGAACUGAUUUGAACUCCACUGCCUGAUGGCAGCUGAACUACACUCAAUGUACUUCUCUCCCUUCUUGACUCACUGUGCAGUGCUCUUCAGUAGCCUCUUUUUCCCGUCUAAUGUGAGUUGUAGGUUUCCUAGCUCUGACUCAUUCUGUGAACUCUUUUUCUGUUUGUCCUCUUUUCUGGCCUUAAAUUAGAUGUCACUUUUAAACUUCC
ensembl:lncRNA